GCCCCUAAAGGGUACUAAUUGGCUAGAGUUUUAUGUGAAAAGGGGUGUACUAAAGUGUGGAGAGAUGAAAUUCUGUGAUACCUUACUGGAACAGUCAACGGCGAAGGCGACCUUUUAUGUAAAAACUGACGUUGAAGGACGAAGGCUUAGGACACCAAUAGGAUUAGAUACCCUAGCAGUCUAAGCAGACAAUGAUGAAUGUCAUAGGCAAGAAUUAUAAUUUUGUCUAUAAAUGAAAGUGUAAGCAUUCCACCUCAAGAGUAACGCGGCAACGCCGGAACUGAAAUCAUUAGACCGUUUCUGAAACCAGUAGUGGAGUAUGUUGUUUAAUUUGAUCGUACGCAAAAAACCUUACCACAGUCUGAAUAGAUAUCUAAAUAUCAUACAAGCGCUGCACGGCUGUCUUCAGUUAAUGUCGUGAGAUUUUGGUUAGUUCCAUUAAAUUAACGUAAACCCUUACUUUAUUUUUUAUUAUUAAGUAGUUCACCGGCACAGCGGUCAUGAUAAAAGGGAUUAAGACAAGUCAAUAUGGCCUUAGCAUUGUGG
rnacentral:rRNA from 1 species